UUGUUGACGGUCACUACUCACUAAGGUGGUUUUAUUGAACAGAACUUGGUAUUUUUGUUUGAAGAUGAACUCCACCAACAACUAUUAUAUGGUAGACACGACUCGCGUUGAACUACUAAAAUAAGUACGUCAUUUGGUGCAACACACGAGCAAUUAAUUAGUACACUAAUAAAGGCAAGACAUAAUCCAGGAGGCUAUCUCAUCUGCCCGCGUGUUAAUAAGGAACUGAUUAAUACAUGAAGAUAUAAUAGGGAAAAAUUAAUUCUAAAACAUUUACCAGCGCAUCGAUAAGGAAAGGAUAAAUACGUGAAGAUAUAAUGGGCAAAAAUUGAUUCUAAAGUAUUUGCCAGCGCGUUGAUAAGGAAAGGAUAAGUACAUGAAGAUAUAAUGGGCGAAAAUUGAUUUAAAGUAUUUGCCAGCACGUUAAUACAGGAAAUAAUAAAAUGACAUUAAUCCAUUCUCCUAUCUCUAUCUAUAUAAACACUAGCACGCCCUGUUCCGGUGACAUCGUCGCUACAGAAGGACACCAACGGUACAAAGAAAAGGAUCACCAACAUGACGCGCACCAGAGACAACACUGCAGUUCUGUGCUUGAUGGCUCUCCUGGCCAUGUCUACCACCAUCAUUUCCUGCCAUGCAGAAGGUACCACCAAGAUGUGUGUACGGGCGAAAACCUGCGCGCCCACGCCGCCACCAAACUACGACGGAGUGUGCAAGCUUUACUGCAGAACUCAGGGUUACGACAUGGAUGCAAGCUAUUGCACGGCAGAGCAUGGUGGCACGUGCUGCUGCGUGAGGAAAUAACUUGUUGAGAAUUGAGAUGAGGUUGGGAUGCAUCACACUUGUAUUCAUCCACAAAGGGUAAUAAUAUAUAGAGUACAUCAUUUUUUUAAACGAA